UCCUUCCACAGUGUGCUUUGAAGGCCAAAGAAAAUACCAAAGACCAUGUGCAUAUGAAAAACAUAGUAAACCCUCACUUAUCUCUUCAUUUUCACUCCACCGAUAAACAUCAUUAGGAGGCAUGUUGCAGUUACUUUCUGCUAUCAGCAUGACAACAACCUUUGCUAUAGCAUUUUCCAGCAACAUGGCAAAACAACUUGAUAUAUCCUCCAUAAAAUAAAUUUUUGUAUGAACAAAUAACAGUGUGGAUGUUAUUUCUGUUUCCCUAUAUUUUACAUUUGUAACAAGGAGUAUGAACUUCAUCACCUUUAUAGAAAGAUUAUUGACCUUUCCUUCUUCAAUUUUAUUAUGGACCCAAAAGUUCAGUGUUUGCCACCCCGAAUAAACAGCUGAAAUUGGCAGGAAAUAAAAUCUUGCAUUAUUGUCGACUGGACCCCUCAAUUGUAUAACACUGUCUUUGUUGAAGAAAUUCACUUGCUUGCG
rnacentral:lncRNA from 1 species